GCGGGUGUAGUUUAGUGGUAGAAUACUAGCUUCCCAAGCUAAUGAUGUGGGUUCGAUUCCCAUCGCCCGCU
rnacentral:tRNA from 1 species